UACAGAGGCCUCGAGCGUUAGGCGGAAUCACUGGGCUUAAAGCGUGUGUAGGUGGAUGCCUAAGUACCUUGUGAAAUCCCACGGCUUAACCGUGGAACUGCUGGGUAUACUGGGCGUCUUGAGCCACUCAGGGGCUACCGGAACAAGCGGUGGAGCGGUGAAAUGCGUAGAUAUCGCUUGGAACGCCAAUGGUGAAAACAGGUAGCUGGGGGUGUGCUGACACUGAGACACGAAAGCCAGGGGAGCAAACGG
rnacentral:rRNA from 1 species